rnacentral:rRNA from 1 species
UACGUAGGUGGCAAGCGUUGUCCGGAUUUAUUGGGCGUAAAGGGCGCGCAGGCGGUCCGUUAAGUCCGAGGUGAAAUCUCCCGGCUCAACUGGGAGGGGUCUUCGGAUACUGGCGGACUUGAGGAGUGCAGAGGUGAGUGGAAUUCUCGGUGUAGUGGUGAAAUGCGUAGAUAUCUGGAGGAACACCGGUGGCGAAGGCAGGUCUCUGGGCCACUACUGACGCUGAGAAGCGAAAGCAUGGGGGAGCGAACAGG